rnacentral:lncRNA from 1 species
AUGAGAAGUUUUAAAAGUAACAGGGAAAAAAAAAAAAGAUGCAUGAGACCAGAGGGGUCUAGAUGGGACUAACAGGAAAGAGACAGGGACAAGAGAAGAUAAAGAGAAGUGAACAUGAUUGAAAAUACAUUAUAGACUUGAAUGAAAUUGUCAUGAAACUCAGUUAUGUAUAAUUAAUAUGGACUAAUAUAAAAAGAUAAAAGAGGUUGGCUGGCAAUUUUCAUGGAAGAACUGUUGGAACUACAUACACAUACGUCUGUAUAGAUGGCUUUCCAUCUCAGCUUCCCGGGUUGUAUGCUUGCCACUGGCUACAUACUAACUUGCCCUGCACACUUUGUAAUUACCAUGGCUUCCAUUUGAUCCCCUCCCCGCCCGCCACCCCCCCCUCCCCAGAUCUGCACAUCACCAGCAUUGGAGUCAAAGGUCUUUCCCCAUUGAUCUUGUAUUUAGCUCUGUCUUGGGAGUGGUGUGUAAAGGGUUCCCUGGUGAGGACUCGUGCUGCCACAUAAGCAGAUAGUAUCUUUCCUCCUUACUGUAUCAAGGAUUCAAAUGCAAUACAACUUAUCAUGAGAAUCUGGUGACUCUGGUUGGUAAAUCUCAGGAGUGAUGAAACAGUGGAACAGUAAAGUCUGCCUUGGCCUCAGUCUGUUAUCCAUCCUGAUUGUUAGGCACUCAAAAGUUCUCAGCUGUGAAAUGGUUCUGGAGGAUUCAGUGUUUGGAGGCAAUAGCUGGAGGGCCAGGUCAGCAGAUAAUAUCACAUCUCAUCAACAACCUCUGUAAAUGUCUCACUCCUGAGGCUGCCCUGCCAGGAGGCUUCUUUGUCUUCCAUCAUAUGUCUGUUGGUUUGCUUCUAUAGCUAUGUACUUACUCUUGCUAAAAAAGGGUAUUAAGUCCUUUGUUAUAGUUUAAAACCACAUUUUACUUGUUUCAUGUAUUUGUGAUUAUAAUGUAGUAUCCUUUUACUUUUUUUUUAACCAUUGAUAAACUUUGUCCUCAAGGAAG